rnacentral:rRNA from 1 species
UACAGAGGUCUCAAGCGUUGUUCGGAUUCAUUGGGCGUAAAGGGUGCGUAGGCGGCGCGGUGAGUCGGAUGUGAAAUCUCGGAGCUUAACUCCGAAACUGCAUUCGAUACUGCCGUGCUUGAGGACUGGAGAGGAGGCUGGAAUUUACGGUGUAGCGGUGAAAUGCGUAGAUAUCGUAAGGAAGACCAGUGGCGAAGGCGGGUCUCUGGACAGUACCUGACGCUGAGGCACGAAGGCCAGGGGAGCAAACGGG